GGGUGACCAGCAUUAUCUUGAUGUAUUCGGUACAGUUAAUCUUCAGUUCCAGGGUCGCUAUGUUCCCAUCUCCUGGACGUCAGUUCUCUAAAUCGUGGCAGCUUCUGUCGUGGCUGCAGUCUGGUUAUCAGGUAGUAAACUUGUCCACUAGGUGGGGGUUUCAGUGUCUGUAAGACAGCUCGCAGGAUAUGACCCAGAGUAAUAUCUACUGCCCUUGCAGAGGAACCACAAGUCCUCGUCUUUGCUUCAUGACUACAUUAUCAUUAUUUCAUCUCCUUUGUCUGUUUUCCUUUGCUAUCUACAUCCUCAAUUCUCUGAUUAAACGUAUUCUUUGACUAAAAUCUUUCACAGACAAAAGGCAGGCAGAAAAUGUCAGAGGUGGGGCAAGGAACGUAAGGUCCUGCACCGUCUCAUUGGGGGGUCAGUGUGCUUUUGAUAAUUCCGAAUCAUUCCCCUCUCCAUUCAUUGCAUGAGGGUUCAUGAAAACCCCAGGGAUGGAAUUCUAGAAUGCACACAAAGUGAGCAGGAAGAGUUAGAGUUGGAAAGAAUUCUGAGUCUCAGACUCGCCAUGAACUUCUUCAGUGUACCACAAAGUAUUGCAUCUCACUGUGAGCUUAAGCUCACAGGUGAAUGAUCUGUAGCUCACUCAGUACUUGUGAGAAUGGGAACGUGAUAACAUGUUAACCAUGUGGACUUCACCCCAUGGAGAAACCGGAAGACCUGUGAGCACACUCAGGCACGUCUGUGGAACACUACCUGGAGAGCAGGGUUUAGGUGAUGGGGAGAGAAUGGUGCUGCUGAGUCUUACUGGACACUACAGGUAGGAGCCAGGUGACUCUCUGUAACAAUAAAGGAUUCUCAUGCACACCUCUUAUGCCCUGUUUGCUAUGAAAUCCAGGCAGAGGAGACAGCUUCGCUCAAGAAGAACUUCAGAAGUAUCAGGAGCUGAACAGUAAAAGGGGGAUUCCAAAUGAAAAUAUAGAAAAUGUCAUCGAAACAGGUAAAGCCCCAGAGGACAGCAGGUAUCGGAAAUGAAAACACAUCACUAGGACAUUCCUAUCAAAUUUCCCUUUCGCAGAGACAUCUGUUAUAAAAGCUGCUUUGAAAUAAUCCUUGGAAACAGAGGCAUGUCAGUGGCCAUCUUUCCCCUUAUUCAUUCUCUUUCACAGACAACUGUCCUCCACAAGAACAGAGAACAUCAGUUGGGCUCAAAGAAAAAAAUGAAGGAAGAAUACCGGCAGCAUCGAAGCAGGAAUGUGUC
ensembl:lncRNA